GAUGAACGCUGGCGGCGUGCCUAAUACAUGCAAGUCGAGCGAAUGGAUUAAGAGCUUGCUCUUAUGAAGUUAGCGGCGGACGGGUGAGUAACACGUGGGUAACCUGCCCAUAAGACUGGGAUAACUCCGGGAAACCGGGGCUAAUACCGGAUAACAUUUUGAACCGCAUGGUUCGAAAUUGAAAGGCGGCUUCGGCUGUCACUUAUGGAUGGACCCGCGUCGCAUUAGCUAGUUGGUGAGGUAACGGCUCACCAAGGCAACGAUGCGUAGCCGGCCUGGGAGGGUGCUCGGCCAAACUGGGACUGAGACACGGCCCAGACUCCUACGGGAGGCAGCAGUAGGGAAUCUUCCGCAAUGGACGAAAGUCUGACGGAGCAACGCCGCGUGAGUGAUGAAGGCUUUCGGGUCGUAAAACUCUGUUGUUAGGGAAGAACAAGUGCUAGUUGAAUAAGCUGGCACCUUGACGGUACCUAACCAGAAAGCCACGGCUAACUACGUGCCAGCCGCCGCCGUAA
rnacentral:rRNA from 1 species